GGGUCCGUAGCUCAGCAUGGUAGAGCGUCGGGCUUUUAACCCGAAGGUCGGGGGUUCGAAACCCCCCGGGCCCG
rnacentral:tRNA from 1 species